rnacentral:rRNA from 1 species
AACGAACGCUGGCGGCAUGCCUAACACAUGCAAGUCGAACGGGACCUUCGGGUCUAGUGGCGCACGGGUGCGUACCGCGUGGGAACCUGCCCUUAGGUUCGGAAUAACUCCCCGAAAGGGGUGCUAAUACCGGAUAAUGUCUUCGGACCAAAGAGUUAUCGCCUUUGGAUGGGCCCGCGUUGGUUUAGCUAGUUGGUAGGGUAAAAGCCUACCAAGGCGACGAUCCAUAGCUGGUCUGAGAGGAUGAUCAGCCACACUGGGACUGAGACACGGCCCAGACUGCUACGGGAGGCAGCAGUGGGGAAUAUUGGACAAUGGGCGAAAGCCUGAUCCAGCAAUGCGGCGUGAGUGAUGAAGGCCUUAGGGUUGUAAAGCUCUUUUACCCGGGAUGAUAAUGACAGUACCGGGAGAAUAAGCUCCGGCUAACUCCGUG